rnacentral:sRNA from 1 species
GGGGAAUUAGCUCAGCUGGCUAGAGCGCCUGCCUUG